AUUUGGACAUGGGGGCAACCCUGNUCCAGCGACGCCGCGUGUGUGAAGAAGGCCUGCGGGUUGUAAAGCACUUUUAGUGGGGAUGAAAAGCUCAGGGAUAACACCCCUGGGUCUUGACCUAACCCACAGAAAAAGCACCGGCUAACUCUGUGCCAGCAGCCGCGGUAAUACAGAGGGUGCAAGCGUUAAUCNGGAAUUACUGGGCGUAAAGCGUGCGUAGACGGUUACGUAAGUCGGGUGUGAAAGCCCCGGGCUCAACCUGGGAAUUGCAUUCGAGACUGCAUAGCUAGGGUGCGGAAGAGGGAAGCGGAAUUUCCGGUGUAGCNGGUGAAAUGCGUAGAUAUCGGAAGGAACACCAGUGGCGAAAGCGGCUUCCUGGUCCAGCACCGACGUUCAGGCACGAAAGCGUGGGGAGCAAACAGGAUUAGAUACCCUGGUAGUCCACGCCAUAAACGAUGAGAACUAGACGUUGAAGGGGUAAGCCCUGCAGUGUCGUAGCUAACGCGCUAAGUUCUCCGCCUGGGGAGUACGGCCGCAAGGUUGAAACUCAAAGAAAUUGACGGA
rnacentral:rRNA from 1 species